AUCUCGCUCAGAAAGCUCUAUGAAAGAAGUUUGAUACCAAAUAAGAUCAUUCGCGUACAAAUGAAAGUGGAUAGGAAGGAUCUUGUAUGAAAGAUUUUAUUUGGAAAAGCAUUGAUUCUGAUCGAAAGGGGUAACAAGGACUUGCCUAAUCCUAUGAGAUUCAAAAAAAAUAAAAAAAAUCAAAAAUCAAAAAACUGAAAAUGAUGGAAAAAUAAAAGAAAAUGAAAAAUGAAAAGAAAAGAAAAGAAAAAGGAAAGGCCAAGGCGAAAACCCGCAAAAAGCG
rnacentral:lncRNA from 1 species